rnacentral:SRP_RNA from 1 species
GCCGGGCACGGUAGCACGUGCCUGUAGUCCCAGCUACUCGGGAGGCUGAGGCUGGAGGAUCUCUUGAGUCCAGGAGUUCUGGGCUGUAGUGUGCUAUGCUGGUUGGGUGUCCGCACUAAGUUCAGCAUCAAUAUGGUGACCUCCCAGGAGCGGGGGACCACCAGGUUGCCUAAGGAGGGGUGAACCGGCCCAGGUCGGACACAGAGCAGGUCAAAACUCCUGUGCUGAUCAAGAGGGAUCAUGCCUGUGAAUAGCCACUGCACUCCAGCUGGGCAACAUAGUGAGAGCNN